rnacentral:rRNA from 1 species
UACGGAGGGUGCAAGCGUUGCUCGGAAUUAUUGGGCGUAAAGGGUAGGUAGGUGGUCUUAUUUGUCUGGGGUGAAAGCCUUGAGCUCAACUCAAGAAGUGCCUCAGAAACGGUGAGACUAGAGUACUGGAGAGGGUCGUGGAAUUCCCGGUGUAGCGGUGAAAUGCGUAGAGAUCGGGAGGAACACCAGCGGCGAAGGCGGCGACCUGGACAGUUACUGACACUCAACUACGAAAGCGUGGGGAGCAAACAGG